UUGCGCAAGUCAUGCUUUGCUGGGCAAUGUUCGCAAUCCUCUGCCGGAUUCGCAGGUUUAUUCUUUUUCCAACUUCGAGGCCCGGACAUCUGGUCCAUCCGGAGCGCCCAACCAGGCACUCCGGCGCCGCGCGAUCCCACCGGAUCGCGUCGGCACCCGGGCUCGCGGCGCCCAACCAGGCGCGCGGGAAGACGGCGACAGCCUCGCCGGCAGCGGACGAAACGAAAAAGGAGGGAAGGCCGCGGGCCUUCCC
rnacentral:sRNA from 1 species